rnacentral:rRNA from 1 species
AGCUGGUUCUCCCCGAAAGCUAUUUAGGUAGCGCCUCGGACGAAUACCAUAGGGGGUAGAGCACUGUUUCGGCUAGGGGGUCAUCCCGACUUACCAAACCGAUGCAAACUCCGAAUACCUAUGAGUACUAUCCGGGAGACAGACUGCGGGUGCUAACGUCCGUAGUCAAGAGGAAAACAAUCCAGACCGCCAGCUAAGGCCCCAAAAUCAUAGUUAAGUGGGAAACGAUGUGGGAAGGCAUAGACAGCUAGGAGGUUGGCUUAGAAGCAGCCACCCUUUAAAGAAAGCGUAAUAGCUCACUAGUCGAGUCGGCCUGCGCGGAAGAUGUAACGGGGCUAAAACUAUGUGCCGAAGCUGCGGAUGUAUACUUUGUAUACGUGGUAGGGGAGCGUUCUGUAAGCCGAUGAAGGUGUGUUGAGAAGCAUGCUGGAGGUAUCAGAAGUGCGAAUGCUGACGUGAGUAACGACAAAACGGGUGAAAAACCCGUUCGCCGAAAGACCAAGGGUUCCAGUCCAACGUUAAUCGGGGCUGGGUGAGUCGACCCCUAAGGCGAGGCCGAAAGGCGUAGUCGAUGGGAAAAUGGUUAAUAUUCCAUUACUUCUGUGUAAUGCGAUGAGAGGACGGAGAAGGCUAAAUCAGCCUGGCGUUGGUUGUCCAGGUGAAAGGAUGUAGGCAUGUAUCUUAGGCAAAUCCGGGGUACUCUAUGCUGAGAUCUGAUAGCAAGCUGUACUUGUACAGCGAAGUGGUUGAUGCCAUGCUUCCAGGAAAAGUCUCUAAGCUUCAGUUACACAGGAAUCGUACCCGAAACCGACACAGGUGGUCAGGUCGAGUAGACCAAGGCGCUUGAGAGAACUCUGCUGAAGGAACUAGGCAAAAUGGUACCGUAACUUCGGGAGAAGGUACGCUGUUGUUGGUGAUGGAACUCGCUUCCUGAGCUGACGACAGCCGCAGAAACCAGGCCGCUGCAACUGUUUAUUAAAAACAUAGCACUCUGCAAACACGAAAGUGGACGUAUAGGGUGUGAUGCCUGCCCGGUGCUGGAAGGUUAAUUGAUGGGGUUAGCGUAAGCGAAGCUCUUGAUCGAAGCCCCAGUAAACGGCGGCCGUAACUAUAACGGUCCUAAGGUAGCGAAAUUCCUUGUCGGGUAAGUUCCGACCUGCACGAAUGGCAUAAUGAUGGCGGCGCUGUCUCCAGCAGAGGCUCAGUGAAAUCGAAAUCGCUGUGAAGAUGCAGUGUACCCGCGGCUAGACGGAAAGACCCCGUGAACCUUUACUGCAGCUUGACACUGAACUUUGACCUUACUUGUGUAGGAUAGGUGGGAGGCUUUGAAGCUGGAACGCUAGUUCCAGUGGAGCCGUCCUUGAAAUACCACCCUGGUAAUGUUGAGGUUCUAACUCUGUCCCGUGAUCCGGGACGAGGACCGUGUCUGGUGGGUAGUUUGACUGGGGCGGUCUCCUCCUAAAGAGUAACGGAGGAGUACGAAGGUGCGCUCAGCGUGGUCGGAAAUCACGCGUAGAGUAUAAAGGCAAAAGCGCGCUUAACUGCGAGACCCACAAGUCGAGCAGGUACGAAAGUAGGUCUUAGUGAUCCGGUGGUUCUGUAUGGAAGGGCCAUCGCUCAACGGAUAAAAGGUACUCUGGGGAUAACAGGCUGAUACCGCCCAAGAGUUCAUAUCGACGGCGGUGUUUGGCACCUCGAUGUCGGCUCAUCUCAUCCUGGGGCUGAAGCAGGUCCCAAGGGUAUGGCUGUUCGCCAUUUAAAGAGGUACGCGAGCUGGGUUUAGAACGUCGUGAGACAGUUCGGUCCCUAUCUACCGUGGGCGCUGGAAAUUUGAGAGGAUCUGCUCCUAGUACGAGAGGACCAGAGUGGACGAACCUCUGGUGUACCGGUUGUGACGCCAGUCGCAUCGCCGGGUAGCUAUGUUCGGAAGGGAUAACCGCUGAAAGCAUCUAAGCGGGAAGCCUACCUCAAGAUAAGAUUUCCCUAGGACUUUAUGUCCUCUAAAGAGCCGUUCGAGACUAGGACGUUGAUAGGUUGGAUGUGGAAGCAUAGUGAUAUGUGAAGCUGACCAAUACUAAUUGCUCGUGAGGCUUGACUA